GACGAACGCUGGCGGCGUGCCCCUUUCAUGCAAGUCGAGCGAGCUGAAUUCAAAGAUUCCUUCGGGAUGAUUUGUUGGACGCUAGCGGCGGAUGGGUGAGUAACACGUGGGCAAUCUGCCCUAAAGACGGGGAUACCACUUGGAAACAGGUGCUAAUACCGGAUAACAACACGGAUCGCAUGAUUCAAGUUUGAAAGGCGGCGCAGGCUGUCACUUUAGGAUGAGCCCGCGGCGCAUUAGCUAGUUGGGGGGGUAAAGGCCUACCAAGGCAAUGAUGCGUAGCCAAGUUGAGAGACUGAUCGGCCACAUUGGGACUGAGACACGGCCCAAACUCCUACGGGAGGCUGCAGUAGGGAAUCUUCCACAAUGGGCGCAAGCCUGAUGGAGCACCGCCGCGUGUGUGAUGAAGGCUUUCGGGUCGUAAAGCACUGUUGUAUGGAAAGAAAUGCUAAAAUAGGGAAUGAUUUUAGUUUGACGGUACCAUACCAAAAAGGGACGGCUAAAUACGUG
rnacentral:rRNA from 1 species